CGGCCCAUAUUUGGAUGGACUUAUUUGUGUGCACAGAGCUGUAGCUUAUCUGCAUGCAAGGGAAUAAACGGGAAUAAAGCGAAAGCUUUUGACAAGAGAGCGAGCUUUGGGUUAUCUAGCCCUUGUGCUUUAGAAUGGGAUGAAGAAACAAAAUCAAAGCUCAAGCGCUGGAUCAUUCGAUCCAUGGAACUAAAUUGUGGAAGGUCAGUUUGGUGGUACGGCGAGAUAAAAGAAAAGAAUAAAAGGUUAUACACGUGUCUGAAAAAAAAAAGAAAAAUUUAAAUCAAUAAAUCGUCGAAAGUAGGGUGCACAUGCCAAGCUGCCCCAAAAAAAAAAUAAGCUCAGUGUGCCGAAAAGCCGAAAAAUCUGUGGUUCUCCAAAGAUAAACCCGGUUUCAAGCCCCAAACGGGGUCUGAGCUUUGCCAGUCGAUCUCGGUUUCUCCAGUGUAAUUUAAUAUUGACGAAAGUUAUCCAACGGAGGUCAAACUUCUGCCGCACAACGAAAAUUUGCGAUCAACCUUAUUUUUGACCUUGGCAGAGGACAUACAGUUGCCUCUGAAAUUCUAUGUCGUGGCCUGGAUAGGCACAGACAUAUCCAUAUCGGAUGUCUUCAAGGAAAAGGAUUGACACACACACUGAAUUCAACCGUAGCUACUAUUGCUAUUAUUAUUAUUUUUUUUGCAUUUAAAUUUUGUACAUUAUAAUCUAAUCUAGGACACAUCAAUGCAUGCAGGCCUGUUGCAGCGAUGGAAAACCAAACUUGCUGUAACUGUAGAUAAAUAAGAUGUUAUGAAGAUUUGAGGUGAUGCUGAGGAUGGUUGUUAGUUGGAGUGGAGUUAAAAUAUGAAAAUACACUGAAGAUUGAUCAACAUGAAAUUGGAGUAGAAUAACUAUACAGGGGUAUUGGGAAGGGGGAACAUAUAGAGGUUUAAGGGUUAACAUAUAGGGUGGGUAAACGCGGAGAUUACAAGACCUAACUCCGUGCGGCGAUGCAUAUGGCACUAUUGAUUUGAUUUGUAUAACACCUAACGGCCAGGUUAGCACCAGAAUCUCUUGUAUGUGUUUAGCUGGAACAACUGAAAGAUCCCCCCAUCCGACGAGCCCUAGCCGAAAGAUCCCACACAGUGCUAACCAUAACAUCUAUGCAAGUUGUCUAGUUUGUGGAAUGCGUCUCGAAAGCUACCACACCAGAACACCGGGACACAUUACAAAAGUGGCGCCCAACGUGGGGCACGAUACAACAACAACCGUAACAAAACUUUGUGUCUCAGUUAUUGUCAGCAUAUAGAAUUUUUGCUUUUGUUUCCUUUCUGGAAAACUGCAAUGGUUGGUGCAAGUCACAGUCCAUUCUGUCCGAAACGAUGAGGGAGCAUCGGGUCUAUAUGCGUGCCAGGAGCUAAGUGGAAGAAAAUUGUAUUAAUGUCUGUGGAAAUCUUUAAGAUUUAGAAUGCUAGUCAUUAAAUCUUGCUGCCCGGAACAAUUGGUAUAUUUUUUUUCUGAAGCUUCAGCUCGUGUUGAAGACAAUAUUUUUUUUUUAACAGUAUAUUUUGGGAACAAGUCAUGGUGUGAUAUGUAUUGCCAUAAUCUUUGUAUGUUCCAAAUCUCAAUACCCUUGAUCCGUAUAGUUUAUUUUUGAAGUGAAUUUGACAUUUUCGAGCAUUUAUUCGGUAAAAUUCUUAAAGAUUGAUUUGUGUGUGCACCAUGGCCGUAAGACGAAGCUUAGAUAUGACCACAUCCACAAAUAAUGAACAGAACAUGCAUUUUGAAUUGGCUUGAUAAGUCGCGAUCUUGCCCAACAUGUCAAAACAAUGUUACAAGAAACAGUUUAUUAGAGGUUCUUUCCGAAAAUGUUGCCGACCACAAUCUGAACCUGGAAACAAAUAGUUUGGAGAGGAUUCUGUUAACUAAUAGUCAAAAGAAGAAAAAGAGACAGUCGCAGCAAUCAAAUGAGAUAGUAGAUCUCGAGGAUAACAGUAACGUAUUGUCUAAUUCUGCUUCUGCGGAUAACCCAAACCAAGAUGUAGGUUUCUUAGAGCAGAGAAUAUUAUCACAGGUAGAUCAUCGAAUAACUUCGCAAAUUA